CUACGGGUUGCAGCAGUGGGGGAUAUUGCACAAUGGGGGGAACCCUGAUGCAGCGACGCCGCGUGAGCGAAGAAGUGCUUCGGCAUGUAAAGCUCUAUCAGCAGGGAAGAAAAUGACGGUACCUGACUAAGAAGCCCCGGCUAACUACGUGCCAGCAGCCGCGGUAAUACGUAGGGGGCAAGCGUUAUCCGGAUUUACUGGGUGUAAAGGGAGCGUAGACGGCAUCGCAAGUCUGAUGUGAAAACCCGCGGCUCAACCACGGGAUUGCAUUGGAAACUGCGGAGCUUGAGUACUGGAGGGGCAGGCGGAAUUCCUGGUGUAGCGGUGGAAUGCGUAGAUAUCAGGAGGAACACCGGUGGCGAAGGCGGCCUGCUGGACAGUAACUGACGUUGAGGCUCGAAAGCGUGGGGAGCAAACAGGAUUAGAUACCCGUGUAGUC
rnacentral:rRNA from 1 species